GACAGAGGUGCCAAGCGUUAGGCGGAAUCACUGGGCUUAAAGCGUGUGUAGGCGGAUGUCUAAGUACCUUGUGAAAUCCCACGGCUCAACCGUGGAACUGCUUGGUAUACUGGAUGUCUUGAGCCACUUAGGGGUUACCGGAACAAAUGGUGGAGCGGUGAAAUGCGUAGAUAUCAAGAGGAACACCUGAGGUGAAGACGGGUUGCUGGGCUGACACUGACGCUGAGGCGCGAAAGCCAGGGGAGCAAACGGG
rnacentral:rRNA from 1 species